rnacentral:rRNA from 1 species
CCUACGGGGGACAGCAGUGAGGAAUAUUGGUCAAUGGACGAGAGUCUGAACCAGCCAAGUAGCGUGAAGGAUGACUGCCCUAUGGGUUGUAAACUUCUUUUAUAUGGGAAUAAAAUGUUCCACGUGUGGGAUUUUGUAUGUACCAUAUGAAUAAGGAUCGGCUAACUCCGUGCCAGCAGCCGCGGUAAUACGGAGGAUCCGAGCGUUAUCCGGAUUUAUUGGGUUUAAAGGGAGCGUAGGUGGAUUGUUAAGUCAGUUGUGAAAGUUUGCGGCUCAACCGUAAAAUUGCAGUUGAAACUGGCAGUCUUGAGUACAGUAGAGGUGGGCGGAAUUCGUGGUGUAGCGGUGAAAUGCUUAGAUAUCACGAAGAACUCUGAUUGCGAAGGCAGUUCACUGGACUGCAACUGACACUGAGGCUCGAAAGUGUGGGUAUCAAACAGGAUUAGAUACCCGAGUAGUC